CAAAACCCUUGUUCAUCCAAAAACUCAAAAUUAAUUUUUUUCGGUUGCAAUUGAAGAAAAAAUUUAUCCGAACGCAUCGAAUACUAGGAAGAUAGAAUAGAUUAGUAAUUAAAAAUUUUUAUAAUACUUAUGAAUUCUCACCUUAAUUCUUAGUGAAAAAUAAUCAAGGUUGAAGAAGCUCCUCGAUCAAUAUGCUAUGUG
rnacentral:lncRNA from 1 species